AGCAGCUCAAACACACCUCACAUGGACCGUUGAUCACAUUUAUCAACAGUCCAGAUUAAUCAUUCUUUUCCCUUUUAAUUUUAAUUUUGCCAGUUUUAAUCUCAACCGUUGGAUCAAAAUGAUCCAACGGCCCCUAUUUUAUUCCCCAUGAUUGAAUUUCUUUUAUCUUUAGUACAAAUUUUCUGAGACGUUGAUCCAUCUCAUCCAACGGUCCACUUUUCUUCUCUCACUUAAAACAUACCAGACCCCUUAAACCCUAAUCACUCCACUCAUUUGCCAGCCACCCCAUUACCCCUUUCUCUCAUCUCUCUCUCAUCCUCUCCAACCUUUGAAUUCCCUAAAACAUAUCACAAAUGAGUGCAAAAUCACUAUAAGACCAUUGUGAGACCAUCAUCAUCAUGUUAGCCGAGAAUUCAGCUGUAAAUUAUUUCUAUUUCCAUCAUCUCUUUUAAAAUAUCAAAAUCCAAAAUCCUAGAUUCAAACAUGAAAAACAUAUGAUAUCAUCAUCGCACCUUCAUUUUUCAAAUCCUCCAUUAAAGCUCGCAUGUACCCUUCAUAUUUGGAGGAAUCUUGACCUCAACGUGACGUUUGACGACCCAGAGAUCAAACGUGGGGACCUAUGGGUAAAGGCUUUGUUCAGAGGUCAUCGGCUUCAAACGGCUAGUCUAUUUCGUCACUUUUGAGAAGGUAAAUCUUCACUCUCUUUUCCCUCUGAUUUUUUUUUAUCUUUUCCCUUGAUAUCGUCAUAAGUUCUUUCAUCGGUGCUCAUUAUUGUUCUUUAUUUUCUAUCAAUUUUGAAUUUGAGAGUUCAAAAACACAAACCCUAAAAUCCCUAAUCUUUGGCUAUAAAUAUCUGCUUUAAUGCCUUCACCUAACAAUGAAUCAACAUAAAUAAAUGCAACUACAAUAAAGCUUUAAAAUAUAUGUCUAUUUGCUCUCUUUUUUUUAAUUCUUUCAUCUCUUUCAAUUCUAGUCAAGCUAAUCUAUUCUUGAGCUGACUGUGGGCACUAGUUCCUAACGGCUAAAGUCAAGACCUUGGUUUGCUGCCCUAAGGAAGUCAGUGCGCCUUCAUUCAAUUCGUUUCAAUGAUUUAAUUUUUUCAUAACUUAUCAUGUGUAGUUAUUCUACUUGAUUUGUCUAAAGUGUGUUGAAUCUUAUAUUGGCAGCCCUGUUUUUCUCACCUAGUUAGAAUGAACAUGAUAUGAAGUAUGUUGUGAGAUUUAUUUACUUAGCAUGUUACAUGUUCAUGGUUUAACAAUGAUUUUACUUUGUUGGCUAAAACCUUUGUUGCUUUGAAGAUAUUUGUUUGCUUGUUGGUAUGUAAAUGAUACUUCUUAUCAUCAUACUACUGUUUUGUUAUGAAAGUCAUGCCUAUAAGGCUUAGUGGUCUAAGUUCACAAUAGGCUGCUGAAGUUUGUACUGCUUGGACUGUUAGUUUAAACCAUUGUUGAUUUGAGUUCCUUGUUGUCUUUACUGCAAAUCCCACCCUUUUUAUCAUAAUGUUGCCUUGUUGUAGAUACCAUACCUAUAGGGUCCUACUUAAGAUCAAAAUUUAAUCACCCUAUUCUGUUUAAUAGCUAUUAUUGUUUUCUUUGUUAGCAUGACCUUUGUGAGGUUAAUUCUAAGUCUAAAAUACUUAACCUAGGCUGCUUGAUACUCAAUGAAGUGUGAUCAUGAACUAUCCACCUGACUAUGUAUUUGUUUGUCUCUAAGUCAUUGUCCUGCAGCUGGUUUAGUUUCCUUAGAGUUUGAGUUUCUAAGGACUUAGACUCACUAAGUGUAAAGCCAUGUGUGUUAGUAUUGUGUCUUUGUCUAACCUGAGUAAGGCACUAGGCCUCUGUUGAAACCCAAUAAAUGAGUACAUGUUUGAGUGAUUAUAUUGGCUAAAACUCUGGUAAGUACCUUAGGUAAUUUGGAAUGACAUUCUAGACUUGAAAUCGUCUUUAACAUAGUAAGUAUGCCAAAAGGAGUAUACUGUUGACAAUAUUUACCUAUGUGACUCUCAUUUGACUAUGUUUGUUUGAGACAGUGAAGCUAUAUGUGUUGUUACAUAUGAAAGGAUUCUAAGUUUCCUUCUAAGCUAUUGAAACCAUUUAAGGGAUUUCUGAGACCUCAUAGCCAUAUGUGAUGAUGAUUGUGCCUUUAGCCAUGAUUAAAAUGAUGAGAAUAUUUGAAACACAAAACAUAUCUAGCAUCCUGUUAUCUGUGUCAUAAUGUUUAGAUUUAUUCUUCAUUCAUAAAAUGAUGUUCUUUGAUAUGGUGUUAUUCUAAAAUUACGUGUGCCUUCACCUCACUGAAUUCUUAAAAUAAUAUCAUGUUUACAUUAGGCCUUCUUAAAAGCUUGUUUCAUGUUGACUGUUUAGGUCUACCUGGCCAGCAAGUUUAGUUGAAGUUUUGAGUCAAUGUUUUGUAUUCAAACCUCUAUGGAAAAAUAAAGUUCAAUAGAUAAUGUCUUUGUUGUGGACCUAAUUUCACUACCAAGGGACCCACCCUAGCACAAGCACUGCUUGGGGCCCUAGAGACCCUUGUGAACUCUGAAGUGCCACGGGUUCAUAGGACAACCUUGUAAGUGAAAAGUAGUUCACUCUAACCAUUGGUUAUUGGCUUUAGUUAAUCUCUAAAGAGGUAUCACAAAUAAAAUUUGGCUUUUCUUUGUUUAUUUUAGAUCAUACUUAUGUUCGUUGUUAUGUUUCUGCUUUUGCCUUCUAUCUGCAAGUACUAAUUAAGUUCCCUCUCUUUUGCAUGAGCAUAUUGGGCCUGCUGAGUUUAUUGUAAACUCUGGCCCAAAUUCAAAUAAAUUAGGCCGCCUCUCCUCGUCGCAUCCAUGUCUGUUGAAGCCUACUACUGAUUGAAUUUAAAUUUGGCCUAAAUAAUUGCCAGCCCACCACAGAGUCCAGUUCCCUUCCUUUACUUUAUAUCACUACUGUUGUUAGCCUGUUUCUAUAUAUAUGUUGUAUUAUGAAACUAACAGUGAUGUUAUGUGAUCUUAUCUUUGUUGUGGUUGUUUAGAAAAUGAUCUUAGGAUAAUCAGAAUCUCGUAGGGUAAAAGGUAAAUAUGAUUAAGAUAACUUUUUUACUUUAUAAGGCUAAUAACCUCAAAAACCUGAAUAUGUAUCGUCAACUUUAUCAAUAAUGUUCUUUUUCAUUCACUUAUGUUUUUCUGACGAGUUUUCUUUAGAAGCGUUUGUAGAAUUAAAUCAAGUUUAAGCGAAACACUUUUGAAAAUUCUUCAGUUGAGUCACUUAGGAAAAUUUGGCACAAAACAUUUCAGAAAAGGGAUGAUUGCAUGAUUCAAAAUUGAUCUGUAGUUUUAUAAGGAUGAAAAAUUAUUUUGGGAAGUCAAAUAACUUAGACCAAAUGAGUCUUUUGAAACAGUCAAGGUAUACACGUUUUGGGUCAUAAAGGCUAGCAUUAGUAUACACAUGCAUUCUUUUAAACAAGUCAUUAUUUUGAAUAAGUCUUAUAACUUAGUUUUAAAAUUAGGCAUUCUUUUCUAAAGCUAUAAACCUAUUUUCAAAUCAAGCAUUUUUAGUAAGACAAAGCAUUUUAUCACUGUAAUUAGGCUUUCAUAUAGACCCCUUUAGCAACCUUAACAACUACUUGACUAGGAUAUAAAUAAUUCUUUCCCCAUAUUUAGCCUAAGUUUAAAGAACUACUUUAAUAUGGAUUUUAAGGGAUGCUACAUUUUCCUUAGAAUAACUAGAACUCUUACCCGAAUUCUCACUGGUUUAGCGAACCAUUAAGAUGUUGAUCUUUAUGGACUUAUAGGUAUCCUAGUAUACCUUUAAAUAUUAGGUGGCCACACUUUUUUUAUUAACCUCAAAGGAACCACAAAUUGUAUUUUGUUUUGACCUGUGCAAAAUAGGGUGCAACACCGUGCACUUCCGUUUAUAUUAUAUGGUGAGGAAGAAAGUAAAAGUACGAAGGGUGAUGCCAUGUAAUUUAUUGAAUUCACUACUUUUACUUGAUAUUUGGAAUGUGAACUUGGCUUUGUGGUUUUUGUUAAAUACUUUUGAAACAUGUUUACUCUGUGAUACUUUACUUUACGUUUCUGAUUGUUGCCCCUUUCAUAUAUCCCUAUCCCGUUUUUACUUUGGUUUCUUUACUUGUUAUUCUGUUGCUAUUGAUAUAUAACUGCAUAGGUUUAUAGCAGGUGUCUUGUCUUAGCCUUGUCACUACAUUGUUGGGGUUAGGCUCGACACUGAUUGAGUAUAUUGGAUCGAUUGUACUCAUACUAUACUUUUUCACUUUUUGUGCAGAUCCUGACAUUGGUACCAAUGGAGUUCUAAGAGGUACAUAGCAGCUACCAGGCAGUGAUUCAAAGUAGAGCUGCAUUCCGUUCGUAGGCCUUAGAAUAACUUUCCUAGUUCCUAUAUACUGUUUCCAUUUUAUUUCAGACAGUAUUGUAAUUCCUUUCCAAAUAUUGUAUUUAGUAUAAUCCCGAAGCUCAUGUACUUGUGACUUCACAUAUUGGGAUAUUCGCGUUAGAUGUUGGUUUUAGACUUAUUGUGUUUGUAUCAGAAUUGCCUUUACGUUUUGUUAUUAAUCUAUUGUCAGUCUUUUAUAGAGGUUCUUCCUAUUCAUCUCUUGUGUGUUGGCUUGCCUAGCAAGCAUUGUUAGGCGCCAUCACGACCUCGAUUGGUUGGGCUUUCGUUCGUGACAAGUUGAUAUCAGAGAAGUAGGUUGCAUAGGUCUCAUGAGUCAUGAGCAAGCUUAGUAGAGUCUUGAUGAUCGGUAUGGAGACGUAUGUACUUAUCUUCUAGAGGAUAUAUGGCUUUAGGAAAUUUCACUUUCUUUCUUUCUCUAUCGUGCAACUUUGUUCUAUCAUUGAGUUUAAAUCAAUCUUCUCUUAUUCUCUCACAAAUGGUGAGGACACGUACGACAUCCGUAGUUGACCAGGAUUCAGAGCCCCUGACUGUAGCCACUACCAGGGGUAAGGGCCAUGACCGAGGUAGAGGCAGAGCUCAGUCUAGAGCACGCGCAACGACACCUGUUGUUGAGCCUCAAAUAUAGUAGGAGGAUGAGAUCCCUAUUUCGACCGAGCCAGUUGGACCAGCUCAGGUCCCAAAGGGGUUCAUUGCUAACCCAGUGCUUCAGGACGCCUUAGUCCGCAUGGUUGGCUUGAUGGAGAGUAUGGCACAUGCUGGUGUGUUUCUUGUGGCACCAGCCAUUUCUCAGGCCGGGGGAGGAUCCCAGACUCCCGCUAAUCACACUCUAGAGCAGAUGGCUCAUAAGUAUCAGACCCCAGCAGACCUACCAGUUGGGAGAGUUCAGCCUGUUGUUGCUACACAGUCCGAGCAGAGACCCGCAAUAUCAGCUGAGGGGAUGAAGAGGUUGGACAAGUUCACCCAGUUGUUUCCCCCCUCACUUUAGUGGUAUACCUUUUGAGGACCCCAUGAUUUCUUGGACUGUUUCCACGAGAUAUUGUACAACAUAGGUAUAGUGGAGUCCAACAGAGUUGAUUUCAUAGUGUUUCAGAUGCAUGAUUCUUUCAAAAGGUGGUGGUAGUUGUAUGUACAGGGUAGGCCAACAGGUUUACCUCUUCUUACAUGGGCUCAGUUCUCGUAGUUGUUCUUAGAGAAGUCCAUCCCCUUCACCUAGGGAGAGGAGUUCUGUAGUCAGUUUGAGCGCCUUCAGCAGGGUAGCAGAUGUUACUCAGUAUGAGACCAGAUUUGUGAAUUUAUCACGCCAUGCAGCUAUCAUAAUCCCUACUGAGAGGGAGAAGGUGCGUAGUUUCAUAGAUGGCCUUAUAUAUGGCAUCAUUCUAUAGAUGGCCAGAGAGACCGAGGAUGAUAUUUCUUUCACUCGGGUAGUGGAGAUUACUAGGAGGAUCGAGCACAUCAGAGGUCAGGCUAGGGAGAUGACCUCUGACAAGAGGCCGCGUCAUUUUGGAGGAUUUAGUGGUGCCUCAUUUGGAGGCAGGGUUCUUUGGUAGAGGCCAUCCUAUCAGGUUGGUCUAGUUAGAUCUACCCAGUCAGCGACAAUGCAUAUGGAUCUCGUCCCAAGCAACUAACAUAUUGUGUUCCUUUAGCUCUGGUUAGUGCACCUCUGAUACAAAGUUAUUAAGGUGGUUAUUCAAGUCGACAAGUACAGUUCCAGGGUCAGCACUGAUGUCAGUCGAGUGCUUGUUAUACUUGUGGGGAUCUAAGGCACGCCACGAAGUUUUUCCUGAAGUCGUAGAGCAGCACGCCACAGUAGGGCACUCGUGCCAUGAUUCCAGCACUGAUGGCUUCACUACCCCACACAAUCAGCUAGAGGCGGGGGUUAGGUAGCCCAAGGUUAUGGUCAGAUAGUUAGAUGUGGAGGCCAGCCAGUGAGAGGACGUCCGAGAGGUGGAGGUUAAAUUGGUGGGGCUCGGCCCCGUUGUUAUGUAUUUCUAGCUAGACCUGAGGUAGAGUCAUCUGAUCCAGUUAUUAUAGGUAUUAUCUUAGUCUGUCAUAGAGAUGCUUCCGUGUUGUUUUAUCUGGGCUCUACAUAUUCUUAUGUGUCUUCAUAUUUUGCUUCGCAUUUGAGUAUGCCACGUGAUUCUCUUGAUGUCCCUAUUUCUGUGUCGACACCGGUUGGAGACUCUAUAGUAGUUGAUCAGGUGUAUAGGUCAUGUGUUGUUACUAUUAAUGUCUUUCAUAUUGUAGUUGAUCUUUUGUUGUUGAAUAUGGUAGAUCUUGAGGUCAUUCUUGGUAUGGAUUGGUUGUCCUGGUAUCAAGCUAUCUUGGACUAUCAUGCCAAUACUGUGACUUUAGCUAUGUCAGGGUUGCCUAGAUUAUAGUGGAGAGGGACUCACAGCCACUCCACUAGCAAGGUUGGUUUCAUAUUUGAAGUCUCGACAUAUGGUCCAGAAGGGGUGUUUGGCGUAUUUUGCUUAUAUCCAUGAUUCUAGUGCAAAGGUUCCUUUUAUGGAUUCGCUACCAGUUGUGAGUGAGUUUCCUGAGGUGUUUCCUAUAGAUUUGUCGGGUAUGCCACCCGACAGGGAUAUCAAAUUUUCCAUUGAUUUGGUUCCGGGCACUCCGCCUAUUUUUAUUCUGUUGUACCGUAUGGAUCCAACUAAGUUGAAAGAAUUAAAGGAUCAGUUGCAAUAUUUUCUUGACAAGAGAUUUAUUAUACCGAGUAUUUCACCUUAGAGUGCAUCGGUGUUGUUUUCCAAGAGAAAGGUCGGAUCAAUAAGGAUGUGCAAAGAUUAUCGGCAGUUGAACAAGGUCACCAUCAAGAACAAGUAUUUGUUGCCUAGGAUUGAUGAUUUAUUUGACUAGCUUCAGGGUGCCAAGGUGUUUUCUAAGAUUAACUUAAGAUUAGUCUACCGUCAGGUGAAGAUUAGGGCAUCGGAUAUCCCUAAGACAGCUUUUAGGACUCGAUAUGGUCAUUACGAGUUCUUGGUGAUGUUAUUUGGCUUGACUAAUGCUCCAACUGCCUUCACGGAUUUAAUGAACCGAGUGUUCAAGCCGUAUUUGGAUUCGUUCAUGAUUGUCUUCGUUGAUGUUAUUUUGGUUUACUCUCGUAGUCGAGAGGAGCAUGUGUAGCACCUAUGGAUUGUACUUCAGACUUUGAAGGAUCGUCAAUUAUAUGGAAAGUUUUUGAAGUGUGAGUUCUGGUUACACUCGAUUGCCUUUUUGGGUCAUGUUGUGUCUUUUGAGGUUAUCAAGGUGGAUCCUAAGAAGAUUGAGGCAGUUCAGAACUCGCCUAGACCUAUACAGAGAUUCAGAGCUUCUUGGAUUUGGCGGGUUACUAUUAACGAUUCGUAGAGGGGUCUUCAUUUAUCUCAGCCCCAUUGGCCAAGUUGACCCAAAAUGGUGCUCUUUUCAGAUGGUCCGACGAGCGUGAGGCGAGAUUUCAGAAGCUCAAGACUUACUUGACUACAGCCCCGGUGUUGGUGUUGCCCACAGGUUCAGAAUCUUACACUGUGUAUUAUGAUGCAUCACGUAUUAGACUUGGCACGGUAUUUAUGCAGGAUGGUAGGGUGAUUGCCUAUGCGUCUCGUUAGUUGAAGGUUCAUGAGAAGAAUUACCCUAUGCAUGAUUUGGAUAUGGCAGCCAUUGUUCACGUGCUCAAAAUUUGGAGGCACUAUCUCUACGACAUCCCAUGUGAGGUCUAUACUGACCAUCAGAGUCUCCAACUUCUAUUCAAGGUGAAGGAUCUUAAUUUACAGCAACGGAGAUGGUUAGAGUUACUGAAAUAUUAUGAUAUCACCAUAUUAUAUCAUUCGGGAAAGGCCAAUGUAGUGGCCGAUGCAUUGAGUAUGAAGGCAGAGACCAUGUGCAGUUUGGCAUUUUUACCGGCAGUGGAGAGGCUAUUAGCUAUGGAUGUUUAGGCUUUGGCCAAUCGGUUCAUAAGGUUGGAUGUUUCAGAGCCUAGUUGGGUUCUUGCUUGUGUUGUGGCACAGUCAUUAUUGUUGGAGCGUAUCAAGGCUCACCAGUUUGAUGAUCCUCGCUUGUUGGUGUUAAAAGACACGGUGCAAUGGGGUGCUGCCAAGGAGGUUGCGAUUGGAGAUGAUGGUGUUAUGCGGCUUCAGGGCUGGAUUUGUGUUUCGAAUAUUGAUGGGUUGAGAGAGUUAAUGCUUGAGGAGGCUCACAAUUCACGGUAUUCCAUUCACCCAGGUGUCACGAAAAUGUAUCGUGACUUGAAUCAGCACUAUUGUUGGUCAUGUCUCUCGGUGUUUGUAUUGUCAAAAGGUGAAGUAUGAAUAUCAGAAACUGGGUGGGUCGACUCAGAUAUUGGAGAUACCGAAGUAGAAGUAGGAGCGCAUCACUAUGGAUUUUGUGGUAGGCUUAACACAAACCUUGAGGAAAUAUGAUGUUGUUUGGGUUAUUAUGGACCGGUUGACUAAGUCCGCACACUUCAUUUCGAUGAUGACAUCCUAUUCUUCAGAGCGGUUAGCUCAGAUUUACAUCCGGGAGAUUAUCCGUUUGUACGGUGCGCCCAUUUCCAUCAAUUUAGACCGGGGCACAUAGUUCACAUCACACUUUUGGAGAGCCGUGCAGCAUGAGUUGGGCACGCAGGUCGAGCUGAGUACUACAUUUCAUCCUCAGACGGACGGAUAGUCUGAUCAUACUAUUCAUAUUUUGGAGGACAUGUUGCGAGCAUGCUCAAUGGAUUUCUUGGAUCAGUAGGACCAGUUCCUACCUUUAGUAGAGUUCUCCUACAACAAUAGCUAUUAGUCGAGCAUUCAGAUGGCUCUAUACGAGGCCUUAUAUGGGAGGCAAUGUUGAUAUCCGGUUGGUUUGUUGUGAGGCUAGAUUGUUGGGCACGGACUUGGUUCGUGAUUCUUUGGAGAAGGUAAAGAUGAUUCAGGAGCGGCUUCGUACAGCUCAGUCCGGGCAAAAGAGUUAUACGGACCAGAAGGUUUGAGAUGUGGCUUACAUGGAAGGUGAGAAGAUUCUUCUCUGAGUGUCGCCUAUGAAAGGCGUGAUGCGGUUUGGGAAUAAGGGUAAGUUGAGCCCGAGGUUUAUCGGCCAGUUAGAGAUUUUGGAUAGAGUUUGGGAGGUUUCCGGUAUUUCACAUUUCCAUGCUUCGGAAGUACCAUGAGGAUAGGUCACAUGUUUUAGACUUCAGCACAGUGCAAUUUGAUGAAAAUUUGGCCUGUGAGGAGGAGCCGGUGGCUACUCUAGACCGACAGGUUCAAAAGUUGAGAUCUAAGAGUUUUCCUUCUGUCAAAGUGCAUUCGAGAGGUCAGCUGAUUGAGGAGGCUAUGUGGGAGUCCUAGUCCGAUAUGAGGAGUAGCUACCCACAUCUUUUUACCAAACCAAGUACACUUAUAUGUAUGUUCAAGGAUGAACGUUUCUUUUAUAAGUGGAGAAUGUGAUAACCCAACAUGUCAUUUUGAGUACUAGCUCCCUUAUAUCUGUUUUGAGACCUCCCGUAGCUUUAUUUGAUAAUUUAUCAAUUGUGUGCGUGGUCUGUGUCAUUUUCUAUAAAGUUCAUAUGUGAAAAUUUAAAAAACAAAAGUGAUUUUUGUCUUUAAACACAACUAGAGUUUACCACGGUCAACAUUUAUGGUAAACGACCUCGGAUCGGUAUUUUACCGAUUUUGGUUGGUUUUACGCAUGUUUGGUUGGGAUUCCGGGUGACUCGAGGUUGUUUCGGCAAAUUAUGUGAAAAACAGGGAAAUUGAGUUGUGAACUUGAAAAUAUGAUUUUUAAUGAUUGAUUCUUGAAUUUUGAUGUUAUUUUGAUGAUUUGAGGUAGCGAGCGAGUUAGAUGUUAUUUUGGUGUUUUUAGCUUACGAUCAUGUUCGUGUUGGGAUGUUUUGGUGAGGCCCGGGGGGGCUCAGGUGAGUUUCAAGGUGGUUUUUGGCCAUUUUUGCACAAAUUGCAGCAACUGACCUUCAAAUGCUUGUGCCGGAAUGAACGGGAGACGUCCUCUUCAAGAGCACCGUAAAUAUAAGGUCCCUCUCUUAUAAAACCCUCAUAGUUAAAGGAUAAAAAUCGGAAGAAUGAAUGCCCGGAAUAAAAGUUAUCGGAUGUAAGAAAUUCCCGAACUUUAUCAAAUGGAAAAAACAUUUUUGCAAGCAAGAGAUGUCUUUUAUUUCUUAAAUUUCCAAGCUCAAUAGAAGUUUCGGCAUAGUUACACAAAAAAAAUUACAUUAAUUGGUUUUGUCGGCGGAGUCUGAAGGAAGAGAAGUCUUUGCUGCAUCUUUUGAAGAUGAAGGAUGUUCUGCAUCCAGUUCAGUACCUUCAUCCUUGUCCUUAUCUUCUUCUUUAGCUUUAUCUUCAGUUCCUGAGGAAUCAGAACAUGUGCUCGAGGAGCUUGAAGUAGUGGCCCAAGCAGGAAUGUUAUCGAGGGAGGUUAUCUCCAAUUCAAGAGCCUCAACAAUGCAGCCAUCUAUGUUUGAAAUGCCUUUUUUGGCCUCCUUCAAGGUUUUUCUCCUCAUGUGAUAAAUCACAUAAGUUUUCUCAGAGAGAAAAAAGUUUUCUUGAUCUUGGAUUUUGGCUCGAAGCUUUUAAUUUUGGAUUACAACUGUUCAUUUUCAGCCAUCACGAUGCCAUAGGUCCGACAAAUGUCAGUAUUUGUCCUCGCGUGUUCGCGGUUCUGCUCCAUGACCUUUUUGAGCCUUUCCUCCAUCCUAGCUCUUUUCUCCUCGGCAGCAGCAACCUCCUUUGUGUUGGAAUGUAAGCUUGCUUCCAAGUUACUGAUUUGUUCCAUGGAAGCAUACUCACAUUUGGCUGUCGCAGUUACAGCAUCCUGUAACGCAGCCUACUUGACCUUCAAUUCCUUGAGUUCUGUAUGCUACUAAGUGGCUUCUUGGCUGUGAACCAUCUUUUCUUGCUCAGAUUGCUCCAACCGGGCUUCAAGUUUGCCUAUCUGAGUAUGUUUUGCCUCUAAAGACGGGAGACGCUUAACGAGUUGAUCUCGUUCAACAACAAUUCGAUCUCAUUCCGCAGCAAGUACUUCUUUGGCUUGGAUCAUCUUUUGCAAGCCUUCGGAGGCAAGGAGGUUAGCAUGAAAAGUCAAAGAAUAAAGUUUUUAAGAAUAAUGUUUAGCAAGGGGAAAAAAAGAAGAAGAGUAAGACGAUACCUGAGCAGCAAAGUGUAUGCUGAUAUUGAUCAGACAUUCCGCAGAAAGAGCCUCCAUCUUUUACCGGUCUUUGUUUGAAUCCAAAGGCUUCAAGUAGUUGGCAACUCCCACCGGCUUGGAGAGUAAGUGGCACUCAUUCGAAACCGAAAGAAUGACACUGCAUUUACCAUCGGGGUUUUGGAUAGGUGCCAGGAAAGUGUUCUCAAUGUUCCCAUGAUCGGGUGACCAAGGGAACGAACACCUUCCAUUUGUUCAGGUGGGUCCGGUGGUGAGGCAGGAGCUGAUGAUACUGCAGCUGGUGAUGAAGUAGGAGAAGGAGGAAUAUCAGAGGUAGAACUCCCCUGACCGGAAGCAACAAUUGGAGCUCAAAAAUGGGACUCUGCAUUUUCAACCAUUUCCAUUUCUGUAAAGAUCCCUCGAAUGACCAGUGGUUGAGUGUCCGGUUAAGUAGGGGAAGUUUUUCUUUAUCUUUGAAGAGAAACCGCUUCUUCAUCAUCCUCGAUUUCUUCUUCAUCAAGGACCAAUCUGACCGGUCCUACCGGGGUUUCUUCUGUGGAAGGCUUCUCCUGAAUCUCAGCCUUAGAGGUACGUCUUCUUUUUUAUUUUUUCUCUUUAGGCUGGGGACUUAGAGAAGAUGGGCCUUCACCGAAAGCAAGAGCGGCAUCAUGAGCCCUCUUUCGAUCAAUGGCUGAUCGAAUCCGUCGAUGAGCAACCAUUGGGUCAUUAGAAACCUCAACAACAUGGCAUAAAGAAGAUCCCUUCGGAAGGCCUGUGUAUUAUGAAAGGGAGUUAGCAAAUUUGUACUAGGUUAUGUUGGGGAUUAAAAAGGAAAAAGAGAAGUUUACGUACCAUUGUUCUUGGCCUUCCAGUUGAAUUUGGGUGAAAUUUCUUUCCACUUACGAGAGUCUGUGUGAAAGUAUCUAAAAUCUUUUGUACCCAUUGGGUCAGGUUCUGAACCGAUAGUGGAACCCAACGGGUAGCUGAAAUAAGAGAAAUAAAAGUUAGUAAAGGAGGAAUUUUCUUUAACAAAGUAGGAAAAGAAUAUUUGAAAAACUUACAAGUAAAGUUCCAGGAUUCAUGGAUAGGAGGUAUUUUCGCCGGAAGAAUGUCCCCGAUAGCAAUGACAACGAACUUUUCCAUCCAACCAUGAUCAUUAUCAUGAUCAACACUGGUGAUGAUGGCAUGAUGACCUCAUUUACUAAGUUUGAUCAUGCUUCCUCGAAAAAUCUUUGCGGAGUAGAGGUUGAUCAUAUGAGCAAGAGUGUGGGUUUCACUAGCCCGGGAACACAGUACCUUAAGGCAAAAUAUUGUCUGCCAAAUUAAUGGACCUACCAGAGCCAAACAAAUUUGGUAGUUAUGGCAAAACUCUAAAAUAAUGGGAUCAAUUUUUCGGCGAUACUUAAAGUAAAAGGGUACGUAAAAAUGUACAUGAACUCUAGUUUGCUGAAGAUGACCCUUUCCACUUUAUUUGGGGCUAAAACUUUAAUAUUUUUCCAAUCACAAUCUUCUUUAACAACAGGGAUACUAGCAGGACAUAUGGAAGGACAUUUGCUGACGGGCCAAUUUCUAUCAUUUUUAGGAUUGAUAGGUUCCUUUUGUACUUGAAGAUCCGUUCAGAAUUUAGUUGAGAGGGGAUGAUUGUGUUGGUAGUAGGAGGACCGGCAUUGGCUUUCUUGGUUUUGUUCUUCUUAAAAGGGACACAUCGAUGUAAAUGCUUGCGUUUCCAGGGAAAGAGGUAGUAGAAGACAUGAUGAUGGAAAAACUUGAGUAUGAGGAUUUUACUGAGAAAGAGAGGUUUGUAAAAAA
rnacentral:lncRNA from 1 species